rnacentral:sRNA from 1 species
UAUGAGGUGACUAUCAUUUGUUGGAAU